GCCAUGCCGAGUCGAGAGGGUUCGGCCCUCGGCUGACGGCUCAGUAACACGUGNGANAAUCUGCCCUAAGGUGGAGGAUAACCUCGGGAAACUGAGAAUAAUACUCCAUAGGUCUAGGAUGCUGGAAUGCACUUAGGCUCAAAACUUCGGUGCCCUAGGAUGAGUCUGCGGACUAUCAGGUUGUAGUCAGGGUAAAGACCUGACUAGCCUACGACGGAUACGGGUUGUGAGAGCAAUAACCCGGAGAUGAUAUCUGAGACACGAUAUCAGGCCCUACGGGGCGCAGCAGGCGCGAAAACUUCGCACUGCGCGAAAGCGCGACGAGGGAAUCCCAAGUGUAUGCACGUAAGUGUAUACUGUUUUUCUGUCUAAAAAGCAGAGAGAGUAAGAGCUGGGUAAGACGGGUGCCAGCCGCCGCGGUAAUACCUGCAGCUCGAGUGGUGAUCGUUAUUAUUGGGCCUAAAACGUCCGUAGCCGGUCUUGUAAAUGCCUGGGUAAAUCGUAUGGCUUAACCAUACNAAUUCUGGGUAGACUGUUAGACUUGAGACCGGGAGAAGCUAGAGGUACUCCUGGGGUAGAGGUGAAAUUCUGUAAUCCUAGGGGGACCANCAGUGGCGAAGGCGUCUAGCUAGAACGGGUCUGACGGUGAGGGACGAAGCNCUGGGGCGCAAACGGGAUUAGAUACCCCNGUAGUCCAGGG
rnacentral:rRNA from 1 species